AUUGAACGCUGGCGGCAGGCUUAACACAUGCAAGUCGAGCGGAGAUGAGGUGCUUGCACCUUAUCUUAGCGGCGGACGGGUGAGUAAUGCUUAGGAAUCUGCCUAUUAGUGGGGGACAACAUUCCGAAAGGAAUGCUAAUACCGCAUACGUCCUACGGGAGAAAGCAGGGGAUCUUCGGACCUUGCGCUAAUAGAUGAGCCUAAGUCGGAUUAGCUAGUUGGUGGGGUAAAGGCCUACCAAGGCGACGAUCUGUAGCGGGUCUGAGAGGAUGAUCCGCCCAACUGGGACUGAGACACGGCCCAGACUCCUACGGGAGGCAGCAAUGGGGAAUAUUGGGCAAUGGGGGGAACCCUGAUCCAGCCAUGCCGCGUGUGUGAAGAAGGCCUUAUGGUUGUAAAGCACUUUAAGCGAGGAGGGGGCUACUGAGACUAAUACUCUUGGAUAGUGGACGUUACUCGCAGAAUAAGCACCGGCUAACUCUGUGCCAGCCGCCGCAGUAA
rnacentral:rRNA from 1 species